rnacentral:rRNA from 1 species
UCCAAUAAGCGGAGGAAAAGAAACUAGCAAGGAUUCCCCUAGUAACGGCGAGUGAAGAGGGAAGAGCCCAAGAUUGAAAGCUGGCGUCUUUGGCGUCCGCAUUGUAAUCUCAAGAAGUGUUUUCCGCUUCGGACCAUGCCUAAGUCCCUUGGAAAAGGGCAUCAUAGAGGGUGAUAAUCCCGUACAUGGCAUGGAGCGCCCGAAGCUUUGUGAUACACUUUCUAAGAGUCGAGUUGUUUGGGAAUGCAGCUCAAAAUGGGUGGUAAAUGCCAUCUAAGGCUAAAUAUUGGGGAGAGACCGAUAGCGAACAAGUACAGUGAUGGAAAGAUGAAAAGAACUUUGAAAAGAGAGUUAAACAGUACGUGAAAUUGCCAAAAGGGAAGGGUAGGAGGUCAGAGAUGCGGUCUGGGAUUCAGCCUUGCUUUUGCUGGGUGUUUUUCUCAGAUUGCAGGCCAACGUCGGUUUUGGGCGCUGGAGAAGGGUGGAAGGAAUGUGGCACCUCUCGGGGUGUGUUAUAGCCUUCUACUGGAUACAGUGACCGAGACCGAGGACAGCAGCGUACUCGCAAGAGCGGGCCUUCGGGCACCUUUACGCUUAGGGCGUUGGCAUAAUGGCCCUCUACCACCCGUCUUGAAACACGGACCAAGGAGUCU